UCUCAGUGGAUUUCUGCAGGUUUAUUCUGGACGGACGUCAGAGACGACGAUCUCCUCUUAUCUUUGCCGCACAGUUUGAAAGCCUCUGAUCUACAGCAGCAGAGAGGAGGAUGGCACAUCAACACACAUCAGAUUCAGUCCUGCAGCGGCAGGUGCUGUUAAACUUUCCCGCCUUUCCACAUCACCUGAUUCUGCCAACACACCUGCUCCUCAUUUCAUCCAAUCAGCUAAACUACCCCAAUUUCACCGUCUGCUAUCCAUACUUACAGACGGGGGACAAAUGGAGAGACAAACCUGAGUAAAGAGUGGAGAAACAUAUCAGAUGGAGAUGCUUCUCACUGAAUGGUUUGGUGAGGAUGAAAAUGAUGUGAAUAAAAUGCUACUGUUAUGGUUUAUGGUUUGUAGUUGAGUAUUUCCUGUUUUAUUUUGUAGUGUUCUGCCUCAUGUGUCUUAUUUAGUUUUACUUCCUGCCUUUGUUUGCUUUUCCUGCCAGUUUUGAUUGUUUGCCCUGCCCUGAUUGGUUUCACCUGUCUCGUUUUCUGCCCUCACCUGAAAGUGUAUUUAAGUCUGUGUGCUUCCUUUGUUCUGUGCCAGUUCACCUUCGUCAGCCUGUGUCACGUGUCCCAGCCCUUUUCCUCUUGUUUUCUUGUGUUUUUGACUUCCUACCCCGGUAUUUGGACUCUCUGCCUGAUUUUUAUUUGGAUUAUGGAUUAUUUGCCUGUUGCCUUUGGCUGUGUUUGCCUGAUUUGGACUGCCUUUUUGGAUUUGAUCUCUGACUGCC